rnacentral:lncRNA from 1 species
UUAAAUGAAUAUCAAUGACCUAGUGUGCAUAUGAGCCUUGAAUAUUUAGAUGCAGCCGUGAGCUCUUCAGGUUGUUGGAUGUGGCAGCUAAAUAAAUUGCCAGCUAAAUCACCAUCUGCACCUCUUCCACAACGUGCUGCAUUUGCUGGAUCCAACACACUGUUUUUGGAUCAGGCCAUGAAGCCCAAGCUACUAGAUUUGCGUGUGCACCGCUUCUUCCUGCUGCCAACCUGCUCUUGGACGUGAGCUGCUACUUUUCUUAAACAUGGACCGUGAAGAUUUGGCAGUUGCACCGUGAGUGAACAUGAGCUGCUGGAUCCGUGGAGGGUGCUUGCUUCAUUGUGUUCAAUUCCUUUGGGUUGUGAGCUUCCCACGUGGGCCCUGCAUCCUGUCCUUUGCUGCCACCAAAUUUCGACGUUGUUGCCUUCUCUGCUGGGCUGUGGACGUUUUGCUGCUGGCUAGGACGUGUUGCAUGUCCGUGAAGGCUGCCAACUUGGGUUGCACCAUGCUGAAUGAAAAACAUGUUGGGCCGCUGCUUCUCUUGCUAAACCAAGCUUUUAAAUUGUUCAAGGUGUCUUCUCUCUUGGUUCAAGCCCGCUGAACAUGUGUAGGCAGGAUGCAUGGCCUUUUAUUGUGUCUGUGUCAAGCUUCUUUUUGCUACAGCAUAGAGCGUGACGUGUGCUUCCCAAUUGCAUUUUGUUUCUUACAGGUCGCUGCACCCCUCCUGGGCCCAAUUUCUCUUGUGGACGUGAGCUUCUUAGAUGCAGUAGCUAUGUGCUUGAUGCUUAGGUGCGUGCUCAAUGUGCGCUGCUGCUCAAAGCCACGUGAAGAAGGCUGGAAGUAAUUUGUUGAAGCCCGUGAGUGCUUCUGCCUUCAUGUUGCAUGAUGUGUUGUUGCAACUCCUAGGGUCAUGAUGCAUCAUUCUUUUUUUAUUCAAGCAGCUGGAGCUUUUCGUGUGCACUUGUUGUAUCUCAAUGUGGGUCGUGUAUGUUGUUGCUGCAGCAUGGUGCUUGGGUGGAUGAAGCUGGACCAUGUGAUGUGGGCCGUGGGGCUCUUUCAACUAUUCUGCUAGCAAAUGUGUUGCUGCCCUUCCCAAGCUGGACCAAGUGAAGAUGUUGGAAGCUACUGGAUGUAUCUUUUUUAUUGCAGCCCGUGCCAAUUUGCUUCUUCUAUGGACGUGGGUGCAGCAGCAUUGGUUGCUUUUAUUUUCUUUAAAUGAGAUCAUCCCC